GUAAACGAUGUCGACUUGGAGGUUGUGCCCUUGAGGUGUGGCUUCCGGAGCUAACGCGUUAAGUCGACCGCCUGGGGAGUACGGCCGCAAGGUUAAAACUCAAAUGAAUUGACGGGGGCCCGCACAAGCGGUGGAGCAUGUGGUUUAAUUCGAUGCAACGCGAAGAACCUUACCUGGUCUUGACAUCCACGGAAGUUUUCAGAGAUGAGAAUGUGCCUUCGGGAACCGUGAGACAGGUGCUGCAUGGCUGUCGUCAGCUCGUGUUGUGAAAUGUUGGGUUAAGUCCCGCAACGAGCGCAACCCUUAUCCUUUGUUGCCAGCGGUCCGGCCGGGAACUCAAAGGAGACUGCCAGUGAUAAACUGGAGGAAGGUGGGGAUGACGUCAAGUCAUCAUGGCCCUUACGACCAGGGCUACACACGUGCUACAAUGGCGCAUACAAAGAGAAGCGACCUCGCGAGAGCAAGCGGACCUCAUAAAGUGCGUCGUAGUCCGGAUUGGAGUCUGCAACUCGACUCCAUGAAGUCGGAAUCGCUAGUAAUCGUGGAUCAGAAUGCCACGGUGAAUACGUUCCCGGGCCUUGUACACACCGCCCGUCACACCAUGGGAGUGGGUUGCAAAAGAAGUAGGUAGCUUAACCUUCGGGAGGGCGCUUACCACUUUGUGAUUCAUGACUGGGGUGAAGUCGUAACAAGGUAACCGUAGGGGAACCUGCGG
rnacentral:rRNA from 1 species